AAGACGGUGGUUUGUGAAUUAUUUUGAUUGUUCUUUCUAGGUAAUGGAAAUGCUGGUGCUAGUGAUUCGUUGUAGUAUGGAGCGGUAUUCUAAAGAUGGUGGUAGUGGUGAUUUGUAGUAGUAUCAGGGAUGGUAAUGGAGACGUGGGGAUAGAGUACUGGACGUGAUUAAGUAAAACUACAGAGGAAUUCCCAUAAAUCGCGACUCGGAUCGUUCUCGAAAAACAUCAGAAACUACUUUUACUGCAGGACAACUAAAGCAGUUAGCAAAUGAGCUACAACAGGUUAAAUGAAAUUGCUGCAGCUUUGGCUUAUCUCGAAACAGAACUGGCUUCGAAGGCACCAAAACUAUUCAGUGUACCACAGAUCGUGAAUCCUGUCAAGAUUUUUGGUGAUUUGCAUGGGAAAUUUGGGGGCCUUAUGCGUCUCUUUGAUAAAUAUGGGUCUCCUUCAACUGCAGGAGAUAUGGCUUACAUCGACUACCUCUUCUUAGGGGAAUAUGUUGACCUAGGCCAACUCAGCUUGGAAAUGAUUAGUGUUUUGCUUGCAUUGAAGGUCGAGUAUCCACAAGAUGUACAUAUGAUUCGUGGAAACCUCGAGGCAGCAGAUAUUGAUGCUCUGUUUGGAUUCACGAUCGAGUGCACUGAACGGAUAGGCGAAAGGGAUGAUAUUUGGGCUUGACACAAAAUAAAAAGGUUGUUUAAUUGGCUUCCUUUGGAAGCUCGAAUUGAAAAGAAAAUCCUUUGCAUUGCAUGGUGGCAUUUGUCGCUCUAUAAAUCACCUGGAAUUAACAGGAUCAGUAAUUCUUAUGGAUUUAUCAUAGGCAUGAGAAAUGGGGAUACACGUACGUGAAUGAACUUGCCCAACACCUUAUAAUUCAAUUGGUGGAGAUCAUGUAGCUCCCCUGCGCACAUGAAAUGAGUUUUUAGCACUGUUAAUGAUGAGGUUAUUGAAUCUGGUGGUAGUAGUUCAGGGAAAUUGAGAUUGUUGGUGACGAUUGAAAUGAGAUUGCAGCUAUGGGUGGAUUGGAAAGUAAGCUGAGUUUAUGAUUGUAUAUAACAAUGAGUUUUGCUUGGAUUGUAUAAGAUGUUCAAGUGAUGUGAAUUAUAGUUGUGGUCUUAAUUAGUCUGGUAGAAUGGAAAUGAUUAUGGUUUGAUCCCUGCAAUUAAUGAGCUAACUGUUGUCUACAUGACCUAUAUGUAGGUUUUAAUGUGUCAAAUUACCUCACACAUGUGCUUCCAACUAC